rnacentral:lncRNA from 1 species
CCAGAAAACAAAUUCAAAUGCAUGCUCAUUCGUAAACUUUCAUUUGUGUUUAUUUAUUUUGUGCCAGUAUAUUUUGUGUAUAGUUAUUUCUUAUGACACGUUUUAGUCUGUGCCACUAAAGACUGAGAGGCUUAAAUACAGAAAAUGUUUAUUUCUUACAAUUUAAAAUGCACAGUCCAUGAUCAAGGGCCCAGAAGAUCCAAUGUCUGAUGAGGACCCUUUUAUGGUUUGCAGAUGGAUUCUGUGUAUCUUCAUAACAAGAAAAGAGGGGGAGCACUUUACUGUCAUAACCUGCACAGAAAGCUCACUUUAUAAAUUAUGGUGUCAAGGAGUGAUUACACGCUGUCUGUCUGAGGUAGAGAGCUGCAUGCCUGAGAACAUCAUACCACACCCGAGUUUUCCACUCUUCAAUCUCAGGACUUUCGUGUUGUCUGAUAUUGCCCCCUUCUAUUCCCUGGUGAUUAGUAUACACUAAAAUAUUGUAAAACAAACAAACAAACAAAAAACCAAAAAGAACUUGCCUUGAAAAACCCG